AUGGAGUGGAGCUGGGUCACUCUCUUCCUCAUGUCACUAACUACAGAUGUCCACUCCCAGGUACAGCUGCAGCAGUCUGGGCCUGAGUUUGUGAGGUCUGGGACCUCAGUGAAAUUGUCCUGCAGGACGUCUGACGAUAUCACUAAUUACUAUAUUCACUGGGUGAAGCAGAGGCCUACUCAGGGUCUGGAAUGGAUUGGAAGAAUUGAUCCUGAUAAUGUUGAUGUUAUUGAUUAUGCUCAGAAGUUCCAGGGCAAGGCCACACUGACUGCAGACACAUCCUCCAACACAGCCUACAUGGAGCUCAGAAGCCUGACAUCUGAAGACUCAGCAGUCUAUUACUGUGUAACACACAGUGUUACAACCACAUCCUGA